rnacentral:misc_RNA from 1 species
AAAGACAACUUCCAAUUCCAUUUUGUAUCAUUUUACUGAUUUUCUCUCAUGUAAUCCCACCUUUGUGAAGGGUUUGACAAAGGGAUGAACUCAGAAUUAAAAAGUUAAAAAAACUAGGGACUUAUUGGUUCAAAGUUUUUGAAUGAAGAUAAGGAUUGAUAUUCAAUAAUGCUGUGUGCCUAUCCAUCCGUCCUUUUUUUUUGUCAUGUCUGUCAUGUAUUCUAGUCGUCUGUGUCCAUAUGGCUACCAUUUCUCCCAAAGUUACUUAAGUAUCAAAACUUGAAUCAAGUUGAAACUCAUAAAGUGGUCAAAUUGGUCUUGAAAGCCCAAAGCACAACACUUGACAAUGCAUUCAAACCAAAAGUAGUGAAGUAUUCCCUAUUUCAACGAUUUUUAGCUAAAUUCAUAAGAUGUUCAUAUAACAGGCAUACACUGG